UCGUCCCCUGGCCAACAUUUUCAUUUCGGGUACUAUUCUCAAGUGCAUUGGCAGAACGCAACAGUUUUGGUUAGACGUUGCAAUGAAUGUUGCAUUACGCUAAAGCGAAUAUUAUCAAUGCAGAAUAUAGUCAAUGCUAGUCGAACCAUUUUAGCAGUGAUAAUGCCACGUCUUCGUAAAGUGCCAUCCGUAGCCCUAUUUCAUCAGUCACUCUUCAUGUAGCUCUCUGGUGGAGCUUUCGAUGUUUGGUGAGCAAGUUAUUACUGUUGCUGUUGUUUUUAUAAACAUGUGUCACCCUAAGCUUUCUUCUGCUUUCUGCAGCUUCUACAAGGGCACGAUCCCACGUCUGAGCCGUGUCUGCCUGGAUGUAGCUAUCACGUUCAUGAUCUACGACUCCUUCAUGGACCUCUUCAACAAGAUCUGGACGACAAGCUAAGCAGCCCGUCUCGCUUCCUGAGCAAACACUCACUCACAAACAACACGUCCUCAACACAAACCAGACUGACAUGACACUGCAGAGCUCUUCGUGUCACUUCCCGUUUUCUUGUCGUCGCCGUUUGCCAUCUCGUAAUGUUGCAGUAUCCACCUCAUGGUGCUCGCAUGAAGGGAUGAGAUUGCAUUGUCUUUGGGAAAGCAUGAACAGUAUGUGUUUUUAUUGUUUCAAGUACUCGGUGAUCAGUUGAAUGUUUGUGAGUUUAUUACGAAGCGCAGUUGGGGCAGUGUUGCUGUUAGUACAAUGCUGCUUUGUUGUCUGCUUUUGUCCACUUCUUGAGCUAACUGUGCGAGCAUUCCGUGCAAUCUCUUGCAUCUCGAUGUCUGCCCUGAUCUGAGAUGUUCUGGCCUUGUGGUUGAAUGUGCGAGGUGUUAGCAGCGGUCUUUGGAUAUUUGUUUGGUGUCCAUGGCAUCUGUCGAAGCUUUUCUGAAAAAUGUAAAGCUCUCUUCCUGCCUCGUGUACAUUUUUGGCACAGGUACUGUUUGCACCUGGUCGUGCAAAGCACACCUCGUACACCCUGUUUGUCUGCUACACCUACAGGAUAAUCUUCCGAUCGUCAUACUUUUGAGCAGCUGCAUCACAGAAUGAUCGAGAACUUUGUGAAUUUUGUAUUUCCAUGCCAUUGUGAUGAACGUUUGCUUUGGUGCAUAGCGGUAGAUGCAUUUGCAAGGAAGAGAUGCCGUUGCCAUGAAGUCUGUGAAAAGCUGAUUGUCUGGAUAAUUGACGAAUAUCAUAUUUGAGACAGCGUUGACGUAUCACCUGUGCAUUUGACCAUGGUAACUAGAAGCAAUUCAUACCGUCUCUUUAUUUUUUCAAUUGCUUUCAAGAAAUCAGAGGAAAAUGCACCCAGUUUGCUUAACUUUAGCAUGUACCAAGAAUAAUCGUUUUGCAACAUAUUGGGAACCUUGGUGGCUCUUCUGCCUCGUGUGGUGCCUAUAUUUUCUUGUUUACUUCUCGAGAAUACAAGCUUUCUCUGAAUUCUCCCUUUGGCUACUGUUGUUUCAGUUAAUUAUUUCUUAUUUAUGGCAGUUUACUAACAUCUUCAUCACUCUACUUGUCCGGCUAGUAUAGCAGUUGUCAAUACUUGCACUACUAAAGCGGGAGAUCCUUUGCAUUUCAACUUUCAUUCUGUCACUAUGGCUGCCAUUAUUGUUUUACUAUUUCCAUUUAUAAAUCCCGGCCAUGGCGGCCGCAUUUCAAUGGGGGCGAAAUGCGAAAACACCCGUGUACUUUGAUUUAGAUGCAUGUUAAAGAACCCCAGGUGGUCCACAUUAUUCCCGAGUCCCCGACUAUGGCGUGCCUCAUAAUCAGAUCAUGGUUUUGGCGCGUAAAAGCAUAUAAUUUAAUUUUUUUUUUAUUAUUUCCAUUUAUACAUCAAUGCUUGCACAUUCUGGGACCAUGGUCCACACUCUGCAUUCCUCUUUUUAACUAUCAUUUACAGCAUUCUAAAGAAAAUGGGAUUGGCUUUGCUUUUGUCUUGAAAUAUCCAUUGGAAUAAGCCACUGUUUGCAUGGGGCAAAUGCUACAUUGCAUUUUGAUCACUCUGUGCUAGGAAUGGCUGCUUUUUUAUUGCUUCUUUUUAUGUGUUGCCGUCCUUACAAACUGAUUUUUCGUAUCAGUUUUUUUGGGAACAUUUUUUUUUUUUUUUAGAAUGCUGCUUGUUUGAGAGUUUCAUGGUUUACAUUCCAGCUUCAAUAGUGGGACUUGGGAACCAGCGAAACUUGUUCACAUUAGGUUUACUUUGCUGCUAGUUAUCUUACAUUGUUAUGCACUGUAGUUUUAUCUAGCCUGUCAUGUUCCAGACUCAAGCAAAAUGGGUGGCAUGACUUUUAAGUCUAGAGAAAGGUGUUUAAAAAUGUUUCAGGUUAUUAGCAUAAGAGAAGAAGAAAGCUACAUGCAGGAGCAAUCUUUCUACUGCAUUAUCAGGUGUGAGAUGCUUUGUUUUCAGUUUGAAAGUAGUACAGCAAGUCGAGUGACCAUCUAUAUUGAGGUAGCUGUCACUGUGUUGCAUUUCUGCAAGAUGUUCUGCAGUCAACUCGGACUCGUUUUAUCUGAUCCAUGGCAAACAAACAGAAACUAGUUGUGUCGCAACUUUGGCAUUGGUGGUUAUUUUGAAUGAUCAGUCAAGGAGCAUAGAAGUGUCUGUUUCGAUGCCCGAACCACUUAGCGGUUGGCUUUAGUAUUACCCACAAAUUGGAGAACAGCCUGUACGGCUAGGCAUGGUAGUUUUCAUCGAGCAGUCUUGUCUGCCGUUAAUUGCGGAGAGCUCAGCACGAAUAGCCUUGAGCUUACUCGUGGCAAGUGUCACAAACAGCAUUGUGAAUUGGACGCUUGCUAAUUGAAUUUUUUGCCUCGUUUGAGCCUCUGUAAGGCCCUAUUCAAUACCAAGACAUUGUUGUUGCACUGUGUUUUUUUAUAUUGACUGCCAUGUUCUAUCUUAAAGCCAACUGCAAUGAAUUUUAUUUAGGCUAAGUUUGUUGUAAGUGCCUAGUGGAUGUCACCAAAGCAGUUUUUGCCAGGGCUUUAGGGCUAGUGGUAGCUGGGCUAUUUAGCUAACAGUUACCAUUUAGUGGAUGCCACAAGCACUUGGUGUGGUUUGUUGUCGUGCAAGGUGGGUGGGAAGUAAGUCCUGGAAUGUCGUCUCGCCAUGGCAUGUCCAGGCACAAUGAGGAAGAGAAGCUCUUGGUACUGGAAAAGCUACAUUUGCUCACUAUGGGAGCAGAGAGUGCUGUUACCACCGGCAGAUUUCAUUGCCUUGAAAGUGGGAACCAAAUGCGGUCGUAUUGCAAGCACCGGUGAUUUCCUAGAUAUUAUAGUACUUAUCUGCAGAGCCUCCUUGUGUUGAUGCUUUCCAUUUAUUGCUGUUCAAAUGCAAAGACAUCGCAACGAUACUACGUGAAAGAAUGAACAGACGAGCUUGAUCGGGUCGAAAAGGGUCUGGGUCCUGUCUCUGUUGCAGCAAGCAGUAACAGCAGCAUUUGUUUGUUUGUUUCAUGUUUCGUUUUUGUUUUUCGAAAUGGCUUAUUUAUGUGGGAUUCUUCUGAUGCAUAUGCUUGCAUUUCAAGACAUACAAUUUUGCAACAAGGAGUCUCUAUAUCUCAAGGCCUUUUAGCUUGAAGGAUCUUUGAAGUCGAGUGAACUUAUUGCGGGUCUAGCUUGCGCAUAUUUGUUAAGGUGGAACGCUGGCACACACAGACACACACACACACACACACACAUGCACUCAAACAAAAAAAGUUAUGCCUGUAGAGUAAUGAGACACUCGACCUGUUACUUUGUGGUCCGUGUACUUCUCUUGUGGAAGUGUUCAUCUAGAGAAUGCUCUAUAGCCUACCCAAUGAGCCAGGACUGCUGUUGCACAAGAACUUGCUCGUCAAGGGUCUAGAGAAUGCUCUAUAGCCUACCCAAUGAGCCAGGACUGCUGUUGCACAAGAACUUGCUCGUCAAGGGUCUAGAGAAUGCUCUAUAGCCUACCCAAUGAGCCAGAACUGCUGUUGCACAGGAACUUGCUCGUCAAGGGUCUUUGUGUGGUCAUACUGCGCUUGACAAUCAUAGUACGUAUCAGAUAGUGCUUACCACGGUGCCUCAAUGUACCAUGUGAGGCAAUUACACUCCUGUAACAGGUACAUCAGGCUUAUGCGGGGAGAUAUUUGUGUCCAGAUGUACGAGUGUUUUCUUGUCGUGUGCAUAUUUGCUGUCAAAUCCCUGGUGCUUGUAUAAAUAGCUGGUGGUCUCUUAUAAUUUCAUACUCGCUUGCGCAGGUUCCUCUGUAACUCAAUCGUUGCAAAGCGUCACGGUUAUUUAUGCGUCUUUGAAACAGAGCAGCAGCUUCAAUCCGUGUGACGUGAUCGUUUGGUGUCGUGGACGUUUCUUUUGUUGUGCGCCACGUGGGCUGAUGCUGUAGAGGCUACCUGUCGAACGUGUCAGCAAGAAAGCCACCAUGACUCGCAUGUUUAUUUUAGUGUACUCUGAUGACUGCUCAUUGGUUUUUUAUGUCUCAUGAAAGUGCUGCCGAGUGGCCAGGCGUACUGUGACACGGCAUAUACUAGGCCCAUGUUGUUUCAUGUAAAUCUUCCCACUACGCGGACAGUCUGCUGCUGUGCAACUUUGGUGAGCUAGUAUUUAGUAUAAAGAGAGAGCCUGUGCUUGCAGCAUGGCAUUACAGUACUUCUGUUAUUGUGAUGGCAAGAGUUGGUACGUUGCGUCAUUUGAUUUGCCUUGCUGUGUGGCCAGCACAACCGCCCUUGUUUUAGUGUUUUAUACUUUAUAAUAUUAAGAGAUAUAGUUAUUUUCAUAUACAUGUUAAAAGAAGCUUUCUUCUUUCUUUUUUUCUUUUUUUAAGCAGAGAUUUGUGGUCCUGCCGUGUUUUUAAAAUUUUAAAUGUCUGGCUGCUGUUUGCAGCACAUUCCGCUAUUGCAACGGCCCACAUUGGGAGCGAUGAUUCCGGUUGACUGAUUGAUACAUGCUUUUAGUGGUGCCAGCUGUUGUCUGCUGUAACCUGGCUGUUUUGCAUCUAAACACUGCAUGAUCAUGUUGUGGAGUGCGUCUGUUUCUAGUCACUCUGCUGAUGACAGACAGCCAUUGCAUGUGAAUGGCACAUUGUUUUAUAGCUCCAGUCAAGCGAGCUGUCAACGAGACAAAACCCAUGCAGUGAACAGCAUUGCUAGGUCAUGGAAAAAUAAACACACCGAUACUUUUCCGCGUUUGUACGUGCCAUAUCACGAGAUCAGUUCAAACAUGAGAUGGUGGUUACGCAAUUAAAGCUUAGUGGUAUUGCAGAUGAAAAAAGCCACAGCAUCUGGUCUUGAGGGACGCCGAAACAAGCCACCAGAUGCAUUCUGUUUUCUUGUGGAGAACUUCACUUCAAUGAUACUGUUGAAAAACAGGCUAGCAUCUUUAUCAGCAUAUCAGUAUACAAUCAUGCUCGCACUUAUGGUACAUUCUUUUGAGACACCAAUUCUGACGCUGAAAAAAGAAAAGUGCAGGUGUGCUACAAAUAAAUCCCUUGAGCAAACGAGCUGUUCUUGGUUGUAUCGAUUAGUUCAAAUUAAGUGGUCUUACUUGGACGCAUGCACGCUAAUCUCAACUUACAGGAAGCUUUAGCAGUCGUGGCAUCUUGGGCCUCUUGAUUUGAGAACCUACAACAGGCAGCAAAGAGCGCUCAAGUCCACAGUGAAAAAGCGCCUGCUUUAUACCGCCAGCCCAAAUGGCGAUCUACCCAUGCUGCGCCAACGACCACGUGGUGCGGUGCUGAGCCACAUGAUGCAGAGUCGUCGCUGCUUCUGUCUGUUGCACAGAUUGGCCUUAACAAGCUAAUGAUAACCCACAGAAAUCACCUGCCAUAAAGAUGAAAAAAGCCUGUUUCCUGGGAUUUUUAAACUGAAAACCUCAUUAAUAUUCAGGACAACAUAACUUCACAAUUUCUUCAGCUUCCGAGAGAAAGAAAGCAGUUGAUUCUACCUAACAGACAUUCUAUCCUAAAACCUUCCAGACCUUCCUACAUGGACGGAGUUAUCGAUGCUGGCAACUAAUUUUGUGUUCCAAGAGUCGAACACACUGUACAUCUAGAUUCAUUGGUACCUAAGCUACUGAUUGCCUUUAACAUACUUUUUACAAAGUGUGAGUAGACUCCAGGGGAUGUGCACCACAGUGGGAUUUUUUUUCCCCACACAAUUUGUUAGCAUAAAACCUAAUAAUUUAAUAAAUUGAUUCACCAUGCCCAGGCUUACUUACAUUGGGAUGGACUCUUGGUACAAGAGUUCUUUUAUUUUCUCUUAACUGGCUACAUGCCUGCACCACAUAAUGUUCUGCGAAUUGUCAGAAUUGUCAGAACAUGCCCAGAAAGUUCCACCAGAACCCAUGAGCUUGUCAACCCGAGCAUUUGAUGCCUGAUGUCACAGGCAAGCCUAUAAUGACAAUCAAUUUUCUAGUAUGUGCCAUGACCUAGUGAGGUAUUGUUCAUAUUUCGUGCACAUUUCUACUUGCAUGUGCUGCAACGUCUGUGUUUCCUACUUUCAUUUUAAUCUUUCCACCUUGGUUUGUGUUUGUACGUAGGCACACUUGUGACUCGCAAUUAUUCAAAAUUCUUAUUAAUGCAGGCAAAUCUCAAAAUUUUAUUUCACCCACUCGUUUAAUUCAACUUGAGAUAUGCCAACUUUCGAUAAUGCAAACAAAUAUUGGGACCUAUGUUCACAAAACUUCUCUUACAUGAGAGCAUUUCCUCAUUGGCCAACGUCCAUGCACAAGCCACCCAUGACAGAGAUUGAUGUGAUUGCAGGGGACGUAAAGACACUUAUACAGUCGACUUCCGUUAAUUCAACACUUACGGGAUCAACGAAAUUGAUUGAGUUAUCUGGCGAGUCGAAUUAAACAUCAGAACGGCAGAAAAACGUCAAAACACACCGCUGCCACCAUCAUUUGGCAGUAUUUGCCAGAUUCUAACAUGCCCCUAAAUCAAUUGUGCAACCGCUUUCGAUGCUUUCUAUGUAUUCAAGGUAGGAAACUAACGUAGAAAUAACAUUAAAGCUCCUAAGCAAAGUAGAAAUCUUAUGUGCACCCGAUUUUUUAGCAAGCAAAAUGGGCAAGGGUUAAUAAGUGUUGUACAGUAGCAGUUUCCUAAAGUGAACUUUGCCGCAGUACAGUCCUGUUAUGCGGUAAAGCAUACGAAUGCAGUUAUCGACCCAGUUUUUUGGGAUACAAAAGUAUGCAUUACAAUCGGGUAAAUACAGCUAUCAGACAUUGUGAGCUACUGUUGCUGGUUGAAAACCUUCCUAGGCCAGGCUGAAAAUAGAUGUUUUCAAUGGGUGAUGUAUGUUGAAUGCAUUCACUGUCCCCUAAGCUCUGCCGAAGGCAGAUGUUGCUAGUAAAGGGGUCGCUAUUGGGGUCACUAUAGGGGUCAGGCACAAGCCUGCCAACUAGUCAAGCUCAAAUUAUCCGGCAAAGGCUAAUUUUAGGAUUGAAAUAGCAAAAUUUUUGGCCCAUUGAAAUGCAUGAGCGCCGGCCGGGACCUUUGGUCAGAAUCAAAUUAACUGAAAAACCUAAUUGACCCAAGUUGAACUAAUGGAGGUCUACUGUAGGACUUUUGUGAGUACGGGCCCUUGUUCUCAGGAGUCUGAAAUAAUGCGAGUCAAAUUGUAGUAGAGGCGUGCUUUGUCAAAUGGCACAGAACAAAUCUGUGUGCAUGAUAGUAUUUGUAAAGUUGCUCUGCAAAGCCAUGAUAUUGCAUCUGCAGGAACGUGUGAAUGAUUGAUAACAUAUAUUUUUAUUGUCGGUGUUUUGUGUAGUCAAACUUUCGAAUAGAAUCAAGUAUGAUGGUGGAAAACAAAACUAGCUGCAAAUAUAGAAUUGAAUCAAGUGUUCAUCACUUUUUAAAACAAAGCGCAAUAAAAAGUUUCAAUAGAGCAUAGGCAACUUGUGUGAAAAGAGCGAUCAGUUUAUUAUAUCUUUUGUGAUCAGAAUUGCCAGCAGUAACAAGAAUAAAAGCAGAACCACACAACUAGAUGUACAUAGUGAUUAUAUCACUAAAAACCCAAACACCGUGUCACAUUAAGAAAAGAAAUUCAGCUUCACAUUUAUUUGUGGCCAUUGGUACGAAGAAAGAAGUCAAAUAAUUGAAUAAAAAUUAAUUUGUACAGUAAUUAAUUAGUAAUUGAUUUGCUGAACUAUCCACAGCUGAAAACUCCCUCCAGCAUAUCAAAAACGCUAUUAUGGGCUGUACCUUCGGUUGGCAGUGCUUAAAUCAGACAUUUUCGGCAUUAAGUUCAGUGUAUCCAAAUGAUACUCUGAAUACACUGGCUUUGUGGGGAUAUAGUAUUUAUGCAUGACUGACAAUUAACGAUCGUACAGAACCCAGCCACGACGGCCACAUUUUGAUGGGGGCGAAAUGCGAAAACACCCGUGUACUUAGAUUUAGGUGCACAUUAAGGAACCCCAGUGGGUCCAAAUUAUUCUGGAGUUCUAAACUACGGCCUGUCUCAUAAUCAGAUCAUGUUUUUGGCACGUAAAACCCCAUAAUUUUAAUGAUCGUACAGGAAAGGAGUUAGCAGUAAACUUCUAAUGUGAUGUCUUCUACCAGCAGUCUCAAAAUAAAGCACCCUUUACCAGUUAUAACACAAAAUAUCAGUUGCCCACUGGGUAAAUGGAGCCUCUGUGCUGUGCCUCUUACAACAGAAUCAAUCAUACAAAACAAAAGUUGCCAGUAUGGCUAAAUAUUCACAUCCAUAAUACGUAGCCAUUACAAUGCUGCCAUGUUUACUUUUGCUUUGUAAUGGUUUCUGCUGUCCAAUAUAUUCGGACAUGACCGAAUAUUUCAAUUUCCAAUAUCAAAUUCCCUACUUAAAUUGAAUAGGUGAGAUUGCUUGAUCCAUAUUCGUAAGUUUGUCUCUUAUUCGUAAGUUUGUCUCUUCACACACACCCUACAUUUAAUACGAAAACUGUCCCGGUGUCCGAGGCUAAAGCUGUGUCCGUGACUGUUGCCCAUGUGAUAUGCCAUUGUUUUGCUUUUAUGUGCACAUUAUCUGUCAAUUUGUGCCGCUGUUUAUGUUAGCAGUUAAUGUCGAGCCCACUUACGGCAAACUUGGUAGUCGUGUAGGAUUUAUUUCUAACCAAGUAUUUGCUGAAAAAAUGACUUUUUAGAAAAAAAAUGUGGUGACGACAUAACUUGCAAAAAAAAGGGGGGGGGGGGGGAUGGCAGCACGUUCGCUUCUCCGACAUUGGUUGAAGCUUGAUAGCUGCUUGCGUCUUAGCCAUUUUUCCUAGACUUCCGUCACUUAGCACUUUUGCUACAGCAGCACUUUUUGAUAUACCUUGACAAGUGUGUGUCGCAACUCUAUGUUUCGUCAUCUUGCAUCUUCCUUAAGCUUCGUAUGAAUGGUGGCACUGAUCACGCGAUUGGGAGCAACAACAAUUUGUUCUCUCAUUGAUUUUUCACAGAGAUAUCUAUUUCUACGGAACAGGAAACCGACCCACAUUUUCACAAUUACCGAAGGGGAAUUAACCACAGUGAACAUGUUAAUAGCAAGUACUCAGUGCCAAGGAUUCUGCUAUAGGCCUAGCUGCUCUAGAUAUGCUUUGGUAAUCUUUGCAGUCAGUCACGGAAGCUACAUGUUUCUUCUAAAUUUUAUUGUUGUUCACAAAUACCCAAGAUUCCCAAAUGGCGCAUUCAUUUCUGCAUGGCUUCGUGGUGUCGAAGGCAUUGUCGGCACGGGGACAGCCUAAUAACGAGCUUCAUCACCGGCACAUGUUGCUUCCUGAAUGUGUUUACUUAAUGUCCUGGUAGCAUUUAUUUUGCAACCAAAAAUCUCACUGUCCGCAAAGAUGGUUGAAAAUGUUUGUUUGGACAAGCAAUAAAUUUCUGAAAAAAAAAAGGAUAAAUAUUUCUGACCUUGCAACAAACUUUUCUUCAGCUGAUUGUUUCAGAGUGCUCUGGCAAUGCUAUAAAGUUGUGUAAGAGAGUGGGAUAAGCACACAAAAAUUAUGAUAAGAGACAUUGUAGUGGUCAUUUUGACCACCAGAGGUUUUUUUUAAUGCCUACAGAAAACUCAGUCUGCAUGCCACUGUUUUAGCUUUCUGCUCCUGUUGUCGUGUGGCCUGCUGCUGCUGAAAUUCACACAGAUUGUGAACUCGUGCUCGGACAACUGAAUGUCGUAGCCACCGCAGCAUGCGAACAGCAAUGAGGAGGAAAGCAGGCACGCAAUGGCAAAUGUCACCUCGCCAGUCAAUUGGGGGAAAUUUUGAGCGUUUGUUGAAAUAGUCAAAAGCCUGUGCAUAUUUAUCAUCUGAUGCACAGCAUCAUUCACCGAAUGCAGAUUGUCAUUAUUCGCUGUCUUCAUUCGUAACAACCGAGCAUGUGUUACAAAAAUGGCAUUGUAAAGUAAUACUGCACACUUUUCUUUGUGUUUUGUCCUCUCGAAUACACUGCUGAUUUGAGGUGGCAACCCAUCUCAUUUUAUAAUUGAACGUUGGGUGGGUUGGUUUAUCUUUAGAACAGCUUGAAAGAGUAAGACAGGCAGGAAGACGACACAAGAGUGUGGAGUCAUGUGUCACUUUUCUCUCUGUUCAGUUCUUUUGCAUUGUCGUUGAAAUAGUAUGUACUUUCCCUUCUUUUUAAGCCUUGCAAAUGUAGCAAGAAAUAUUAUGACCCUUUUGAUUGUACAGAAUGUGAUGGUCUGUUGAUGCUGGCUGUCGACAUGCAACUUUGUUGUUGUAAUUGUAAACGUGUGUGUAAUGAUUUCAACAGUGACAGCUGCCAAGUCCUAAUUGUUAGCAACGCAGCAAUAGUGACAGAGGGUGGGACUAGAAGUUUUUUGUGGAAAACUGCAAUACUGUUCACAGAUGCUUGCUUGUCAAUAACAUUCUGGGCAUUGCACAAGCUGUGUAUGCAAUAACUUGUUCCCAAAUUCUAUAGUUCUAUUUUUUUCUUGAUACGAACAUGUGUCCUGCACACAUAUGGAUGACAUGUUUUGUUGCGUUAAUGGUGCUGCUUACUUUUUUCUCUUUUUCUUUUUGUGUGUGUGUGUUUGUCAUUGAGAAGAUGUUUGUUGCUACAGCUGUCAUUGUUACCAUUUAUAGGAGAAAAGUUGUCUAUCUCCACGAUGUUGGGUUAUUUGGUUUACAGAGUUUCUGCAAAAUACUGUUGGCUUAGUGGUGGUAGUAGUAUAAUAUAUGUACCCUGUAGACAUGUGCGACAAUAGGAAUGCUUUGCUGUGCAGUCCAUGAAGCUGUGAACACUUCUUCAGCUGUGCUACUUAUGAUGCAUGCGCACUUUGCAAGGUGUUGCUGUGCUAAUGUGUGUCUGUUGUCUCCAUGCUGUAUACAAAAGUGAAAAAAAGAAGGCUGUAUCUAAGCAUUGAUGAGAAAAUAAAGGUCAUAAAAGAUAACUGUGGCAUUA